rnacentral:tRNA from 1 species
CAAGUUAGUCUAGUAGUUAGAAUUUUCGUUUACGUUGAAAUUAAGAUUGUGCAAUUCAAUCUAACUUGG